rnacentral:antisense_RNA from 1 species
GAGGUGGGCAAGUUAGUUGCUCCAAAUACAAGAUAAAGUGAUUGAGUUCUUUUCUCAAGCGGGAGUCGGAGUUUAUCCACUCUUAGAGCCCCAGCAGCUACUAUUAAUGAGUGUCUGGAAUAUGUUCCUGGCAUUUCACCUACACUCUCUCCAAUCCUUCCAAGAAACUCACAAAGCAGGGCUUUUUCUUGAACUUCUCUUCCUCACAACAGUUAAAUCAUCCAUUUAAAGAUGUCAGACAAGCUCUGUGUUCUAAGAUGCUGGACCCCUGAAUAUGGAGGGCCAACUACACUAGAAACACACAUGCUAGCUGGGAAAGAUGCUGGCUUAAGGCCAAGGGCCUUUGCUAGCACCCAUGGGUGUUCUUGAGAAUAAGACACCCUUCCUCCAGGGCUUAGUGAGCAGGGCCUGAACUGGAGUUCCCUCCCACCACCUUAACUGAACAUCUUCAUGCAGGACACAGCAUGUACAACCUCACAUAGAGUUCCUGACCAGACAAGACUCGCUGGAAAUUUCCCAGGAUCUUCCUUCCUUAAGCAUCCAUCAUGGGAAGCCACCUUGCCCUAGGGAGAGCUCCUGACCUAGGGUGGUUAGAAAAUAUUAAGGAAGACAGCAAUUAAUAAAUUCAAAAAUAAUAAUAAUUACAAAUUAUGUCUGUGUGUUAGGAAAACUUGGAUAAGCAGGUCCAUAGAAAUUCCUCUGCUAGCCCUGUCUCCUGGCAUUUCUACAUAAUAGCAUAUCCUCAG